CAGUUGCAUGUCGGUUACGGUUAAACGACCUGUUUAAAAAAUGAAUAAAAGUACUCUUAACUUAUUCUUGGCGACCAUUUCUAUUCCUGUUUGUUGGGUUGGACUCAUCCCAGUUCGGUGAGAAGGGCAAACAAAAGGUGAAAAUGAGACCUCUCGUACUCGAGGCAGUAAGCUUUACGUACCUCUUCAUUUUCAGUACACAUAUUCUACGUGCUACUCUCGACCCUCUUUCGUCCUUAAAUCCAGCCUAAACACUUUCAACACAAGAAGCAGUCUUAUCAAAGAAAGUACCUGAAAUAUUGGUUCUGCAUAUUGGAAAAAAUGUAUCUACUUUUCCUACGUUGAAACACAUGAAUAAAACGGAAUAUGGAGCAGACGAUGUACGAAACGAAGACUCGUGUCAAGCAUGGUCAAACCGCCAAACACUUCUAGAUUAAAUAUUUUAUUUGGAAAGAAAAAUCUGGAUUGAAACAAAAAACCAAAAAAUAGACUAAAUCAAACUUU